UACGGAGGGUGCAAGCGUUAAUCGGAAUUACUGGGCGUAAAGCGCACGUAGGUGGUUUGACAAGUUGGGUGUGAAAUCCCCGGGCUUAACCUGGGAACUGCAUUCAAAACUAUCAGACUAGAGUAGAGUAGAGGGAAGUGGAAUUUCCGGUGUAGCGGUGAAAUGCGUAGAUAUCGGAAGGAACACCAGUGGCGAAGGCGGCUUCCUGGACUCAUACUGACACUGAGGUGCGAAAGCGUGGGGAGCAAACAGG
rnacentral:rRNA from 1 species